CCGGCCCGGAGCUCUGCGCCCCGGCCGACCAGCUGUCUGCUGUUGUUCCGGACAUGCCCAUAAACUCACCUGUUCCAGAAAGAAGAGGAGCCAAGCAUGGAGGAGACGGCAGGGGAGCAACCACAGCCUGAGGUGCACACUGACGCAUGGUGACAACAGCCACCAAGAUUUGAGUCUGGAGGGUGAUGCCAGAAAUCCGGAUGUGGAGACAAGACAAACACAUCAAAUCUCAAGCAAAAGGCCGUCACAAAGUGGCUCCUGCUGUUCUACCCAGCUGCCUUGCCUGCGCCUCCCAGUCCAGGUCCUCACCACAGUGCC
ensembl:lncRNA